AUGAGAAGAAGAUUGGCAGAACAUUUAUCUUACAUUCCCAGAUCUCUUUCCUUGAUACAACUCAAGGAAAUGUCCUCAGUUUCUGCUGGUCAUGGACGCCGGCCAAAGAAGAAGCUUUAUCACCGUGAGCCUGGCCUCGACAAGGCCAUGGACCUCCAAAAGAAGCCCGCUCUCCUCCUUCGUCUCCGUGAGCUCAUCUUGGCCCAAAAGAAAGGAUCACUACUUGUACGUGACCUUGAAAAGGAGGUUGGCUUUGUCCAAAAAUGGAACUUUGUUUCACUUAUCGAGCGCCACCCCAAUAUCUUCCAUGUCUUUGGUGGAAGUACAUCACGUGAGCCCAUUGCUGUCACGCUUACUGAGAAGGCCAGAAAUAUUUCUGGUGAAGAGAUUCAGGCACAGGAGCUAAUGGAACCUAUCUUGGUAAGAAAUCUGAGGAAGCUGUUAAUGAUGUCAAUGGACUGCCAAAUCCCUUUAGAGAAGAUUGAGCUCAUCCAACCUGAAUUGGGUUUACCAAAAAACUUCAAGGACAAGUUGAUUCCUAGUUACCCUGAUUUUUUUUCAAUCCGUGAUGUGAGAGGCUUGGACCAUCUGUGUUUGGAGAGUUGGGAUUCUUCACUAGCAGUCACAGCACGAGAAGGAAAAUUGAAUUUUGAUGGUUUCCAAAUGGAUUAUAGAGGGGUUCCUAAAGAUGGGAAUAUACUGGGUGCUUUUGCUUUCAAGUUAAAAUAUCCAGCAGGAUUUAGGCCCAACCGCAAGUACCUUGAGGAGGUAGUCAGGUGGCAGAAGAUGGCAUUUCCUUCACCUUAUCUGAAUGCUAGGAGAGUGGAGCCUGCAACUCCACAGGCUCGAAAGCGAUCUGUUGCUGUUCUACAUGAGAUCUUAAGCUUGACAAUGCAGAAACGACUGACAUCUGAUAAGCUAGAAGUCUUCCAUGAUGAGUACAGGCUGCCAUGCAAGCUACUUCUUUGCUUAGUAAAAAAUCAUGGUAUCUUCUACAUCACUAACAAGGGAGCAAGAAGUACCGUCUUCCUCAAGGAGGCCUACGAUGAUACUAACCUCAUUGAGAAGUGUCCUCUUCUGAAAUUCCAUGAUCAGUUUUCAUCUUUAAUUGGCCGAUCAUGCUCCGACUUAAAUACUCCACUGGCAGUAUAG
rnacentral:rRNA from 1 species